CAGUAUUAAUAAAGCUAGGUUAGGUGUGUGUGUGUGUGUGUGUGUGUGUGUGUGUGUGUGAUCUUGAGAUGAUUCAGAGUUUGGACUCCAGACCGUCGACGUGAUUGCUCUCAUGCUCACACUGAUCUAACGAGACAAACGACAGCGCAUGACAGUCAUUAGAGAGAGAGUGCAUGGAAGAAGAUUUUUUUUAAACUUU